UCCUCCUGCAAAGGCGUGUCCGUGGUUCCCUGUCCUUGGACAGGUAAGAACUGGAGGCAAAGCGAUGUGGGCUUGGAGAAGUCUGGAGCCAGCUUGCUCCCCAACAGGUUCAAGAUCACCCUUUCCCACACAG
rnacentral:snoRNA from 1 species